rnacentral:rRNA from 1 species
AGACCCGAAACCCGGUGAUCUAGCCAUGGGCAGGUUGAAGGUUGGGUAACACUAACUGGAGGACCGAACCGACUAAUGUUGAAAAAUUAGCGGAUGACCUGUGGCUGGGGGUGAAAGGCCAAUCAAACCGGGAGAUAGCUGGUUCUCCCCGAAAGCUAUUUAGGUAGCGCCUCGUGAAUUCAUCUCCGGGGGUAGAGCACUGUUUCGGCUAGGGGGCCAUCCCGGCUUACCAACCCGAUGCAAACUGCGAAUACCGGAGAAUGUUAUCACGGGAGACACACGGCGGGUGCUAACGUCCGUCGUGAAGAGGGAAACAACCCAGACCGCCAGCUAAGGUCCCAAAGUCAUGGUUAAGUGGGAAACGAUGUGGGAAGGCCCAGACAGCCAGGAUGUUGGCUUAGAAGCAGCCAUCAUUUAAAGAAAGCGUAAUAGCUCACUGGUCGAGUCGGCCUGCGCGGAAGAUGUAACGGGGCUAAACCAUGCACCGAAGCUGCGGCAGCGAACGUAUCACCCAAGACAACUUUACGGAGUUGACGAUUGACGGAGCGAAGCGACGUCAAAGCGUUCAUUAAAGUCGAGUUGGCUUAGGGAUACGUUCGUUGGGUAGGGGAGCGUUCUGUAAGCCUGUGAAGGUGUGUCGUGAGGCAUGCUGGAGGUAUCAGAAGUGCGAAUGCUGACAUAAGUAACGAUAAAGCGGGUGAAAAGCCCGCUCGCCGGAAGACCAAGGGUUCCUGUCCAACGUUAAUCGGGGCAGGGUGAGUCGACCCCUAAGGCGAGGCCGAAAGGCGUAGUCGAUGGGAAACGGGUUAAUAUUCCCGUACUUGGUGUUACUGCGAAGGGGGGACGGAGAAGGCUAUGUUGGCCGGGCGACGGUUGUCCCGGUUUAAGCGUGUAGGUGUGUGUUCCAGGUAAAUCCGGUUCACUUUAACACUGAGGCGUGAUGACGAGGCACUACGGUGCUGAAGCAACAAAUGCCCUGCUUCCAGGAAAAGCCUCUAAGCAUCAGGUAACAUCAAAUCGUACCCCAAACCGACACAGGUGGUCAGGUAGAGAAUACCAAGGCGCUUGAGAGAACUCGGGUGAAGGAACUAGGCAAAAUGGUGCCGUAACUUCGGGAGAAGGCACGCUGACACGUAGGUGAAGUGAUUUACUCACGGAGCUGAAGUCAGUCGAAGAUACCAGCUGGCUGCAACUGUUUAUUAAAAACACAGCACUGUGCAAACACGAAAGUGGACGUAUACGGUGUGACGCCUGCCCGGUGCCGGAAGGUUAAUUGAUGGGGUCAGCGCAAGCGAAGCUC